CAGCAGCCGCGGUAAUACGUAGGUGGCUAGCGUUGCUCGGAAUUACUGGGCGUAAAGGGAGCGUAGGCGGAUCGUUUAGUCAGGGGUGAAAUCCCGGGGCUCAACCUCGGAACUGCCUUUGAUACUGGCGAUCUUGAGUAUGGGAGAGGUGUGUGGAACUCCGAGUGUAGAGGUGAAAUUCGUAGAUAUUCGGAAGAACACCAGUGGCGAAGGCGACACACUGGCCCAUUACUGACGCUGAGGCUCGAAAGCGUGGGGAGCAAACAGGAUUAGAUACCCGCGUAGUCCCUGUCUCUUAUAC
rnacentral:rRNA from 1 species